CCACAGCUGAAGAGUCCCAAAUAGGACGAAACGCGCGUCCUGGAU
rnacentral:hammerhead_ribozyme from 1 species